rnacentral:rRNA from 1 species
UACGAAGGGGGCUAGCGUUGUUCGGAAUUACUGGGCGUAAAGCGCGCGCAGGCGGUCCUUCAAGUCAGAGGUGAAAUCCCAAGGCUCAACCUUGGAACUGCCUUUGAUACUGGGGAUCUUGAGUCCGGGAGAGGUGAGUGGAACUGCGAGUGUAGAGGUGAAAUUCGUAGAUAUUCGCAAGAACACCAGUGGCGAAGGCGGCUCACUGGCCCGGUACUGACGCUGAGGUGCGAAAGCGUGGGGAGCAAACAGG